rnacentral:rRNA from 1 species
AACGAACGCUGGCGGCGUGCCUAACACAUGCAAGUCGUACGAGAAACACGUCCUUCGGGAUGUGGAGUAAAGUGGCGCACGGGUGAGUAACACGUGGGUAACCUGCCUUGGGGAUCGGGAUAACUGGCCGAAAGGCCCGCUAAUACCGGAUAAGACCACAUGAGCUACGGCUCAAGGGGUCAAAGUCGGCCUCUCAACGAAGCCGGCACCACAAGAUGGGCCCGCGGACCAUUAGCUAGUUGGUAGGGUAACGGCCUACCAAGGCUGAGAUGGUUAGCUGGUCUGAGAGGAUGAUCAGCCACACUGGAACUGAGAUACGGUCCAGACUCCUACGGGAGGCAGCAGUGAGGAAUAUUGCGCAAUGGAGGAAACUCUGACGCAGCAACGCCGCGUGGGUGAAGAAGGCUUUCGGGUUGUAAAGCCCUGUCAGGCGGGAAGAAACUUCCGCAGGUGAAUAGUCUGUGGAACUGACGGUACCGCCAAAGGAAGCACCGGCUAACUCCGUGCCAGCAGCCGCGGUAAGAC